AUUGAACGCUGGCGGCAUGCUUUACACAUGCAAGUCGAACGGCAGCGCGGGCUUCGGCCUGGCGGCGAGUGGCGAACGGGUGAGUAAUACAUCGGAACGUGCCCAGCAGUGGGGGAUAGCUCGGCGAAAGCCGGAUUAAUACCGCAUACGACCUGAGGGUGAAAGCGGGGGAUCUUCGGACCUUGCGCUAUUGGAGCGGCCGAUGGCAGAUUAGCUAGUUGGUGGGGUAAAGGCCUACCAAGGCGACGAUCUGUAGCUGGUCUGAGAGGACGACCAGCCACACUGGGACUGAGACACGGCCCAGACUCCUACGGGAGGCAGCAGUGGGGAAUGUUGGACAAUGGGCGAAAGCCUGAUCCAGCAAUGCCGCGUGUGUGAUGAAGGCCUUCGGGUUGUAAAGCACUUUUGGCGGGAACGAAAAGGACUGUGCCAAUACCACGGUUCGAUGACGGUACCCGCAGAAUAAGCACCGGCUAACUACGUG
rnacentral:rRNA from 1 species